rnacentral:rRNA from 1 species
GACGAACGCUGGCGGCGUGCUUAACACAUGCAAGUCGAACGGUAAGGCCCUUCGGGGUACACGAGUGGCGAACGGGUGAGUAACACGUGGGUGAUCUGCCCUGCACUUCGGGAUAAGCCUGGGAAACUGGGUCUAAUACCGGAUAGGACUCCUGGCUUCAUGGUUGGGGGUGGAAAGCUUUUGCGGUGUGGGAUGGGCCCGCGGCCUAUCAGCUUGUUGGUGGGGUAAUGGCCUACCAAGGCGACGACGGGUAGCCGGCCUGAGAGGGUGACCGGUCACACUGGGACUGAGAUAGGGCCCAGACUCCUACGGGAGGCAGCAGUGGGGAAUAUUGCACAAUGGGCGCAAGCCUGAUGCAGCGACGCCGCGUGAGGAAUGACGGCCUUCGGGUUGUAAACCUCUUUCAGCUAUGACGGAGCGCAAGUGACGGUAGUAGCAGAAGAAGGACCGGCCAACUACGUGCCAGCCGCCGCAGUAACAC